rnacentral:rRNA from 1 species
AUAGAGGUGGGAAUCCUCUAGGCCGAAUAUCUAAGGUUUCCAGGGUAAAGCUGAUCUGCCCUGGGUAAGUCGGGGCCUAAGGCGAGGACGAGAGUCGUAGCCGAUGGACAACAGGUUGAGAUUCCUGUACUGCGGUAUGACAGAACUGUGGGGACACGUAAGGAAAGCGGAAGCCGGGAAUGGAAAGCCCGGUGCAAGCGGGGUACCAGUCACAUUGGCAAAUCCGGGUGGCAAUGGGAAGCCGUGAUGCGGAGCGAAAUAAAGUAGCGAAGUCCGUGAGCCAUGCGUCAAGAAAAGCCGCUAUUGU